AAUCAUGAUUCUGGUGUCAUACAAGACAUAUGUUUUCUUGAUAUUCACAUAAUCUGGAAAACUAUGUUUUGUGUGAUACGAGUCAAUAU
rnacentral:pre_miRNA from 1 species